GGAGGGUGUAGCUCAGUGGUAGAGCGUGUGCUUAGCAUGCACAAGGUCCUGGGUUCAAUCCCCAGUACCGCCA
rnacentral:tRNA from 1 species